CAACCCACUCUCUGUGCUAUGACUUCAUUACUCUUUCCCAGCCCAGCCCUGGGCAAGCCCCUUACGAAGUCUCAGGCUACCUGGAUGACCACCCUUUCUUAUGAUGCUGCAAGGAGGGCAGGUGGGCAGAGCCCCGUGCAUCCUGGGCUCAGGCCAGGGACCCAAGAGCUUGGGAGAAGCUGGUUCUCAGACUGAAGGCCAGAGCCCAGCACCUUGUCACCAUCCCGGGGAGCAUCAUGGCACACAACAACCAGAGCCAAGGCUACAGCUAGAGAGUUGACUCCUCUAUUUGAGAUUGACAGGCCUCGGAAGUCAAAAUAAGUGGUUUCCUAGACCGGGUCGAGAGCAAGUCUCUAUUGGUCCCAACUGAGUUUUUUCAGCUGGUUUUUCAACCAAACAGCACCUCAUCUCCCAGUGAGGGGAAGGGAAGGCUGGGCUGAGAGCAGCAAGGCUGCUCAUCUCACCUCUCCCCACCCAGCCAUGCCAGCCGCCUCACCUGGUGGGGAGAGGUGGGCCUCACCUGGGUCCCCUGGCAGUGCUCUGUGAAGGGUCUUGACAUUGCACUGUAAUAAUAAAGGUGUGUGUGAAGUAUC
rnacentral:lncRNA from 1 species